CGGAAGAGAUAAGUGCUGAAAGCAUCUAAGCACGAAACUUGCCCCGAGAUGAGUUCUCCCUGACUCCCUGAGAGUCCUGAAGGAACGUUGAAGACGACGACGUUGAUAGGCCGGGUGUGUAAGCGCAGCGAUGCGUUGAGCUAACCGGUACUAAUGAACCGUGAGGCUUAACCUU
rnacentral:rRNA from 1 species